ensembl:lncRNA
CAAAAGGAGACCACAAAUAACCUCUAUAAAAAUUGCAUUGGAAGCAGCAGAGGGAAAGCAUCCAGAGGAAGCUUUGGCGUAUGGAAUGAAGUCUGAUGAGAGGGUGCAAAGAAAAUUCUUUUCAGUGGUGCCCAGUGCCAGGACAGGAGGCAGCAGGCACAAACUGGUACAGGAGGUUUCCCCUGAACAUCAGGAAGUGCUUCUUUACAGUGCAGGUGACAGAGCACUGAAGGAGGAGGCCCAGAGAUACUGUCUCCUUGAAGAUAUUCAAAAGCUGCCCAGACAUAGUUCUGAGAUGCCUGCAUUAGGUGUUCCUGCUUGAACAAUGAAAAAGAAGGCUGGACUAGAUGGCCUCCAAAGGUUCCUUCCCAAACCAACCAUUCUGAGAUUCUGUGAAGUUUUCCAAAUCCAGCUCACAGGCUGGAACAGUAGAGCAGCCCAAUCAGCUAGGCCGAGGAAUGAAGUAUACCUCCUGACUGCCUCCAAUUCUUCCCUGAACUUGGACCCUGAUGCUUUUUAAUAGAAGUAUGAAGAGGACCUCUUUGUUCUUUCCCAAGGCCUAAGACUGCUCAACCAUGAAUUCCCACCUGCAGAUGAACACUGCUUGUACGCAUACUCAGAGCAAGGAUUGGGUCAGGGGUGGAAUAAGGGGUUCUGAAGCCAAAAAGGAAUCUCAUUCCAGAGCUUCUGACAAAUAUGGCUGUGAAGCCUUAGGUUUCCCAUCCCCUGUUUUCUGCAAUUAAACCUGGGAUGUAAUAAAAGACUUAGCUUAUGUAAUUAAGACUUAGGUUGUAAUAAAAGGGAUGCGCUUUUUCGUGCUUGAAUUUUCUGCCCUACUGUGGCUGUUUUAAAUUUGUAUUUCUAUCAUUCUCUAAUCAGCGUCUCUCUUCUUUCUUUAGGCUGCUGUUUCCUAUUUAUAAGACCAUGGUAAAACACCAUAAAUUGUUUAAUGUAUAAAAAGCAAGUGUACAAACAAUUUACAAAAAUUACAAUUAUCACUUUGCUCUUAACAGAAUAAAGAUGACAAUAAUUCCAAGAAAAGUGUCACUUGAAUAUUUUAAACAUUUUCCCACACAGAGAUAAAAAUUUCUGGUGACUUCCUCACAGUAAAUAAAACAGUCUGAAUGAGGCUAAUUAGUUCAGGUGUGGCAGUGAACUGAUGAGUCUACAAGGUGUUUUGCUUGGAGUCACUUCAGGUACUUACCCACUACCAAAAAAUAUGGAGAUAUUUUCCCCAUCUCUCAUGCCCUUAACAUAGUUUUUGCAAGCAUCCUAGCACUCAGGAAAAGCAGGAAUCAAGCC